AGUCUGACCAGCAGCUGGAAGCCGAGUCCAGAACGAACACUGAGCUCAAACUUCUGAUGUGGAGUUGGAGACGACUUUCAGGAAGUUUUUAAAAGUUUGGUUCAGCUUUUAACAGUUUUUGUUUUCACAUCGUCACCUCUAACGGUGACUGCGUUCACAAGGACACGAGCAGAGGUGGGUGAAAAGAAAAUUACUCAUGGAGAAGUAAAAGUAAAUUUACAUUGUACAGUUUCCAAAUCAUUGUACACAUUUGUGUUACUUAAAGGUCCUGUAAGGGACUUUUGGUUUGUGUCAACUUUGGCGCCCCCUGUGGACAAAACAGUUUUUGCUUAUCUUGUCUUCUACAUGCUUGGAUUGUGACUUCUGACCAUUAAUUUUUUUGUUUAUUUUAAAUAUUUUAUGUGUGAAUUUUAAAAGUUAAACUGUUUUUUCCACUAAUCGCCUGAAACCUACCCCCUCGCGUUAAAAGUUCUCUCUGGUAGUCUUGUUUGCUUUCAGAUAUCAUAAAAGGUUAUCGAUAUUUGUUUUCAGUCUAUUUUAUAAAUGUCAAAAACUCCUCACAGGAGCUUUAAAGUCAAUUACGAUGAACUAGCUUACAAACUAAAGUGGAUAAAUCAAUACAAAACAGUUCUUACCUGACCAUUAGAGUCAGCUGAUCAGACGCAGCCUCUGAUUGGUCAACAGUUUCUUUUCUGCAACACAAACUGCAGCUAAUCUGAAAAAAAAAGAAAAACUUAAACAUGUUCAGAAAAUAUAAUUGGGCCUUUAAAGAUAACAACACAGCAACAGGAAAAAAAAGCAGUUUUUCUCAUGCAUGAAAUAAAAGUGUGCGUGAAAUACGCUGAGCGGCACAAAGCCAAUGAGCAGUAAAGUUUAAUAGUCAUUCUGCAGCGUCCAUCAGAUCCUCCUCCACCUUUAACUGCAUUAAGUUCAAAGUAAAAAUGUCAUUAUAGAACAAACAAGAGCGUGACUGAUGCGAGCAGCUGGUUCCCGCUCUCAGCACAAUAAACAGGCCGUUGCAUGAACUGGAAAGCUUUGUGUGUGUUACAUUGGCUUACCUUGUCGUCAUACCUUCAUGUUUCUUGGCAGGAGGAGAAACAGACUGACAGGAUGAAAAGGAAACACUUUCUGGAUGAAGACUGAGCCACAGUUACCCCACACAGGCGUGCAGGGUGGGCUGUGGAUGAUUGUCAGGUGGGUAGUUUAAAGGUUUGGUGGUUUUAGUACAGUAUUGGAUCGUACUGUAUUAACCAACCUGUAUGAACUGUUUCAUAUCAUGUAUCGUAAAUCAUCUCAUUAUAUUGUGCCCACUCAUAUCAUAUCAUAUCAUAUCACGUCACGUCACGUCAUGUCGUAUUGUAUCAUAUCAUAUCAUAUCAUAACACAUAGAAGCAACUCUUUUUGUGUCAUUUCCUAUCGUGUCAUUUUGAAUCUUUUUAUAUGGUGUACUGGGCCACUUUGUAUCAUCUCAUACUGUGUUGUAUCAUUUUAUAUCAUUUCAUGUCGUAUUGUCCAGUAUAGUAUCAGGUUGGUAUUGUAUCAUAUCUUAUCAUAUCAUGUCUUAUUGUAAUGUGUUGUAUACAAACAUAUCCUACAUAUCAAACCAUGUUGUGUCUGCUUUUAUUGUUCUGUAUCGUAUUGUAUUGUCACAACUAAUAUAGUUUUGUAUCAAAUUGUGUCAUAUCAUAUAUCAUUUCAUUUCAUAUCAUAUCAUAUAUCAAGUCAUAUGUCAUAUCGUCAUGUUAUAUCAUACAUCAUGUCAUUUUGUUUUGGUCAUGUCAUGUUGUUAUAUCAUAUAUCAUAUCUCAUGCCAUAUACAGUAAUGUGUCAUAUGUCAUGUUAUUUCAUAUUAUAUCAUGUCAUCAUGUUAUAUCUUAUGCCAUAUAAUCUCAUGUCAUGUUUUGUCAUAUUAUGUCAUGUCAUGUUAUGUCACAUUUUGUGUCACAUAUCACGUCAUAUCGUGUCAUAUAUCAGAUAAUAUGUAAUGUCAUGUUGUUAUAUCAUAUAUAUUAUGUCAUAUGUCAUGUCAUCUAUCAUGUCAUCAUGUCAUAUUAUAUCAUGCCAUACAUCAUAUGUCAUGUUGUUAUAUCAUAUAUGUCAUGUCAUAUGUCAUAUAUAUUAUAUUAAAUGUCAUGUUAUAUCAUCUCAUUUCAUCUGUCAUGCUGUAUGUUAGGUCAAAUUGCCAUAUCAUGUCAUAGUAUAUAUCAUAUCAUGUUGUGUCAUUGUAUAGUGUCAUCUCAUAUUAAGCUGUAUUGAUUUAUUGAUUCUUAAUGUAUAUUUACAUGUUUCAUCUUCAUUGUGAAUCCUAAAAGAAGUCAUUCUGAAGUUGCACAUUCCACUUACACAUUUCAGUCUGAAACAUUACAUUGUGUUGUAUUGUUUGUGUGGUUUUGAGUCAUAUGCUAUUAUAUUGUGUCCUUCUGCAUGAAAGCAUAUUGUAUUUCAAUGUGAUGUAUAGGAUUGUGUAUCCUAUCAUACCGUAUCAUAUUGUAUUGUAUGAUAUUUAUCAUAUUGUAUUGUGUCACUGCUGUUUGUUAUCAUAUAUAUAUUAAGUUGUGUCUGAUUGUAUUGGGUUGUAUAUCAUACAGUUCUGUGUUGUAUCCUCAGAAUCAACUCUGGACGUCAUCUCCAGCCGACAUGCUGAAAUGUGCUUUAGGGAUAAACAGAUAAACUCCAUCUGCUGUGGUAGAUCAGGCCAUAUGAGUGAAGAGUCUGUGAUGGGAUUAUUCUGUCAACUCUCAAAAACCAGAAAGAGUUCAGCUUUGUGUGAAAAUUAUGAUGCCCUGCUGACAAAUAGCAGCUCCUUCACAUUAAAAGAAUCAACCUGGAUGAGAACUAUAAUUCUGGAUGACACCUGGUUUUAAUUUGAAGUGCCCGUAACAUCUCAGCAGCCAGGUUUCCUGUCCUACUUUGGAUUUACCGCAGAUAUUUUUGAGUGAAAUAUUACAAGUGCUGAAGAGAAAAACAGCACAAUAAGUCUAAGUGUGACAGCUCAGUGUACAGGAUUGGAGCGGGGGCGGAUAGAUGGUAGCAGCUCCUCUGAGAAAUGUUUACUAAUUGUGAUAAUGUCUCUAAUGCUGUCAGCAAGAUGAGAGAGGAGGAAGCAAAAAAGAAAACGUCUGCGACAAGAAAACACGAGUGCAGCAUUUCUGAGAAUUACAUUUCAUCGUGUAACCUUUGUUCAGCAAAUUUAGGGUGUGAUGGGGGAAGUUUUUUCCAGAUGUUAUUGCCCCUGACAGCUCUGCAGAAUAUAAAAACGACCGAGUCAAAGCUGAAGGGAGAUAAUUUUAUUAGGCUGUUUGGGUGAACGCAAUAAAGACGACCUGGAGACGGGCGAACGCAUGUAAAGUCUGCAAACACUCUGCUUACUCUGGAUUUAGACUCACAGGAUGAAGAGGAGGGAGGCAGGGGGGAGGAUGGUUUGAGAAACAGCAUAAUGUGAGGGAGUAAAAAAAUGAAAAUAAGAGGCUCAUUAUCAGCCGACUGCUACAGAGCAGCAGAGAGCGGCUGUCAGGAUGAUCAGGAUGGAUUUAGUCAAAGACUCGGAAUCAAAGGGCAGCACCUAAUCAUCUGUUUACAGCAAACAGCAGCUCCUGAGGCGAGGAG